GAUGAACGCUGGCGGCGUGCCUAAUACAUGCAAGUCGAGCGAUCAGACGAGUACCUUUUUGCUGUGACGUUAGCGGCGGACGGGUGAGUAAUACCUGGAUAACCUACUUCUCAGACUUGGUUAAUUACGGGAAAACAGAGCUAAUACCGCAUAAUAUUCUGAACCUCAUGGUUCAUUAGUGUAAGACGGUUUUUGUGUCGCUUAUAGAUGGAUCCGCGGCGCAUUAGCUGGUUGGUAAGGUAACGGCUUACCAAGGCAACGAUGCGUAGCCGACCUGAGAGGGUGAUCGGCGACACUGGAACUGAGACACGGUCCAGACUACUACGAGAGGCAGCAGUAGGGAAUAUUCCGGAAUGGGCGGAGGCAUGACGGAGCAACGCCGCGUGAGUGAUGAAGGGCGUCGGAGCGUAAAACUCUGUUAUUAGGGAAGAACAAAUGUGUAAGUAACUAUGCACGUCUUGACGGUACCUAAUCAGAAAGCCACGGCUAACUACGUG
rnacentral:rRNA from 1 species